UGGGGAAUAUUGGGCAAUGGGCGCAAGCCUGACCCAGCCAUGCCGCGUGAGUGAUGAAGGCCUUCGGGUCGUAAAGCUCUGUGGGGAGGGAAGAAACAGCCUAUGGCUAACAUCCAUGGGCCCUGACGGUACCUCCUUAGCAAGCACCGGCUAACUCCGUGCCAGCAGCCGCGGUAAUACGGAGGGUGCAAACGUUGCUCGGAAUCAUUGGGCGUAAAGCGCACGUAGGCGGCCCAUUAAGUCGGAUGUGAAAGCCCUGGGCUCAACCCAGGAAGUGCACACGAAACUGGCCAGCUUGAAUAUGGAAGAGGGUCGCGGAAUUCCCGGUGUAGAGGUGAAAUUCGUAGAUAUCGGGAGGAACACCAGUGGCGAAGGCGGCAACCUGGGCCAAUAUUGACGCUGAGGUGCGAAAGCGUGGGGAGCAAACAGGAUUAGAUACCCCCGUAGUCC
rnacentral:rRNA from 1 species